rnacentral:tRNA from 1 species
GCCAGGGUAGUUCAGUGGUAGAACGUUUGCAUGGUAAGCAAAAAGUCGGGAGUUCAAUUCUCCCCCCUGGCU